GGUGAGGUGGCCGAGUGGUUUAAGGCAACGGUCUUGAAAACCGUCAUACGGGAAACCGUAUCGUGAGUUCGAAUCUCACCCUCACCACCA
rnacentral:tRNA from 1 species